rnacentral:ncRNA from 2 species
UCCGGACUUUAGGGGUGCUCGUUCACACGGGCUGAGAUAAUACCCUCAGAACCUGAUUCGGUUAGUACCGGCGAAGGGAAAAGACGGACUCUCUCU